AUCUCACUGGUCAUUCUUAUGUACUUGAGGCUUUCUGGGGUGAGUAGCUUCUUUCUGUGCCCAUGAUUGCUGCAUUUGGGCAUGUUCUUACUUGCUGUGGUCUAGGACUUUGCUACUCAGCUGUCGUUGAUGUGCUUUCUACCACAUUACAGAGUUACAAUAUAGCAUGUCUCUUUUUCUUCCAUCUGACUAUUUAGGGGAGAAAAUAUUUGAUUAACUGCAGAGGGUAUGGUUUAUGGACUAGCUCCUCAUCUUACCUAAUGUCAUUAUUAUGUCCAAAAGAGACUAGCAUGAGAAAUCAAUGUAGCAAUUACUCUUUAUGGCACUGAAAUAGUAGGUUCAAGACUUGUGCCUCAUCUUUAGAUGUUAUGAGAGAUAUUAGCAUGUAAGUUCUAUACCUAUUGUCACUGUUCUGUUCCUACCCAACAUAAGUUGUCUUUGGCUUAUUAGAAAAUAAGUGGAUGAAUAGCAUACAUGAAAAAUUCAUUCAUGUUUCUAAAAGAACUAACUACAGAAAUUAGGAGUGUAGGUGCUAGGGGCUUGUGAUCUCUGUAAGCCUUAGCAUGGCAAACCCUUGGCAUUUUUCUUUCAGACAGCAUGUUCAUGUUCAUUCAGUAGUUAUUUCUAUCAUUUUUCCUCUUAUGUAGUUUAAAGAAAACAAAAGUCUGUAAAUGGCAGAGGAAUUAGCUUUCUUGUGAAAAUGAAUGCUUUUAUCUAGUUGAUACAUUGUGUUCUGUACAUUUGUGAAAUCAAAUUUGUGCAAUCAAAACUUCAUUAUAACCAUUUUCUCUUUACAGAUUUAUUGUUACAGUAACUAAUUUGCAUAUUAAUAUAGGAGUGUUGAUGAGUAUAGAAACAUUAGUCUAUAAUUCCUAUAGGUCUUACUGGGUGUUGAAAGUAAGGAUUUUUGAGAUUUGAGAUUUCCUCUUCCUGCUAGACUUCCUUAUCUCAGAAUUCCUGGCAUCACCAUCUUGUGCUGUGCCAUAGCAAAACAUGACCUGACACAGGAGUAUCCUCUUCAUCUGACCCAACCCACAGGGAGGUGUGUUGCCUCCCUAGGGCCCGUGUCAGGAACAUCAUCAAAACCUCCUGGGUCUGGUUUGCUCCUCUGAUUACUACCCACUAUUGAUGGUUCAGGUAAGCAGUGAUGAAAUUGCUCAGGGAAGCCUGAGAACUAUCAGAAGAGACUUCAGGGGUUUAGAGUGAAUGGUUGAAGGAGUGGGUGCGCAAGUGGUAUUUUCCUCUCUCCCUUCUGGGGUAGUGAGGGAUAUGGAGUGGUCUAGGAAAACGCAGGCUUUGAAUGAGUGGCUGAAAGGUUGGUGCAGCCAUAGGAACUUUGGGUUCUUUGAUCACAGGGCGGUUUACUUGGCACCUGGCCUGAUGGCUGCAGACAGGUCUCACCUGUCUCUGAGGGGAAAGCGGAUCCUAGCCCAGGAGCUGACAGGGCUUGUUGAGAGAGCUUUAAACUAGGUAUGAAGGGCGAUGGGGAUAAAAUGACACUCGCUAGGGUGGAGCAAGUAGUUCAGAAAUUCAACUAGAUUUGAUGGGGGAAGCAGGUGGAGGUCAGUGGGACAGAGAAGGACUUGGGAAUGUUCCUGUUGUAGGAGAUGGUGGGGAUAAGCUUCUGAACUGUCCAGUAGGAUCUUC
ensembl:lncRNA